ACACAGGGAGAGGAGUGACAGAGUUGGCCUUGCUUCUGAUGGAGAAAAGUUGACCAGAUGUGACCGUACAGGCCGCUCGCAUGGGCCGCUCAUACAGAUAAGAAAGAGCAAAGGCCAACACUGUCACUGCUUCUCACUAAAGCACAUCAAGCUACCUAUAUGUUACUCAAGGGGAAUGAUCUAAAUUUUCAGAAUCCAUCAUGCCCCCCUAAAGAAGGUGUGUGAAGGACAUCACGAAACACCUCAAGAAGUCUCAGAGAGUGCAAUCCUGCCUGCUUUUUCUCGUAAGACGCAAUGGAUGCAUUCAGAUGACAUACUUUCUCCAUGAACAGUAAAACUUCUUGUGUGAAGAAUGUUCGUGGAGUUUAAAAAACAAAAUCUCAAGUAUCAUCAGAGUCACUGGACUGCUGAACAGUUGAAAACGGAGCAGUAAUCUUUGAAACCGGUAACUCCAGUUCCAGUGGUAAGCACCUACCAUGCACAUACGAUGAGUCUUUCACUGUAUCCAUGACGUAAUUCAAGAGGUCCUGACAUUUUAGCCUGGGUGCUCCUAUUUAAAAAUCAAACAAAACGGUAAAAAUGCAUACAUCUUAAAAACAGAGAACCCUUCAAGUGCCAACUUCUUUAACCAAUUCCACUCAGAAAAUUAUUAUAAAGUUGCUCUCUCAUCCAACAGGGUCUGGUAAAUUCUAUAGGCCCUAAGUAGAAAUUCAGCAGGUUGGCUGUUUUGUUAAUAAAGUUUAACUGGAACACAGUCAUGUUUCUGCAUUCACUACAUACAGCAAAUGACAAGAAAGGAGUAUCUGCAACAGAAUCUAUAUGACCCAGAAAGUUAAAAAGGAAAAAAAAAAAA
rnacentral:lncRNA from 1 species